rnacentral:rRNA from 1 species
UACGUAGGUGACAAGCGUUGUCCGGAUUUACUGGGCGUAAAGAGCGCGCAGGCGGUCGAUCAAGUCGAGUGUGAAAGCCCCCCGGCUCAACUGGGGAGGGUCAUUCGAUACUGAUCGACUCGAAGGCAGGAGAGGGUAGUGGAAUUCCCGGUGUAGUGGUGAAAUGCGUAGAGAUCCGGAGGAAUACCAGUGGCGCAAGCGGCGCUCUGGGGUCGAGCCUGACACUGAGACGCGAAGGCAUGGGGAGCGAACGGG